UCACCCCUCAAGCCCCUCGGCUUGGUGUUGGAUGGUUUGGUGACAGAGCCCUUGGGCACCGGUCACCCCUCCCAAAGACAAUGACGGCGGCCUCGUUGGACCCCCGGUACACUGAGUUCCUCACCGAACACGUACUGGAUCAAGGGCCCGCGGAGCACGGUCUGCCUCCCCUCAGGGAGAAACUUUUUUUCUCAA
rnacentral:misc_RNA from 1 species